UUCAGGGAGGACGAAGAGAGGGGAAAAAAAAAAAAAAAAACCAAACUAAAGCUUGCGGGAACAGCACUGCACUGGUGUCAGUGCAGCACGAAGCCAGAGCCCCUCUCACAGCUCAGCCGAUCAGCGAGCAGGCUUUGGCCAGCGAGAUUUGGGGACAGCCAGCGGGAUUUGGGGAAGGCAGAGCAGAGAGCUUAGUGCCCAGGGCUGCUUAAAGAGACACUCACAAGCUCAGACCCAAAAAAAAAAAAAGUAAUCUGCCUUAUUUGGUGAGGAAUGGGCUGCUGGUUCUGAAAUACAUUUUUUUGUUUGUUUGUUUUAAAUCAAGCUCUCCUUUGCUGGGAAAAUUAAAGAGAUGGGCAUGAGGAGGGGGGUGGGAGAGGGAGAAAAUAGCCCCUGCUGUUUACAUGCCUUGGGAUUAGGGCAAGGCAUGGCCAAGCCACCCCGAGCGGUCCAGUGCCCCGCGUCCUUCUUAAAAAGGCAAUUGGCCCUGCUCACGUCCCCAUCACGGCCAGCGGCACGGCACGCCUGCGUCCUGCAGAUGUGAAAUCUGGGGUGUGCAACAAGCCUGCCCGGGCAGGAGCACAGCCCAAGCUGUGCCGCUGGGGAUGCCAAAGGCCACCCCAAAUGUGUCUGCAGGAGGCCUUAGCUCCCCCCAGGAGUCCCGUUCCCAACCCACAGCAUGAAGAUGAGCCAAAGGGAUGAAGGACGGCCGGGGCGAUGCAGGUCCCAGCUCGGCCCAUGGGAGCAGAGGAGGAGAGGGGCCGGAUCCUGGGGAGCAGCUACUGCUUGGAGCUCCCUGCACAGGGACAGAGCAGGGGCUGCUGGGACUGGGGUCCCACUUCCCAGAGAGACACGCCAUCACCGGUCCCUUAUCUAGGGAAAAGGAAGUUUCUGUGUUUAUUUGGUGUAGAAAAAGCUGCUUUUUUACUGCCAAUCGAACCCCUGUCCCAGGCUCCCCGCUAACCCCAGAGCUGUGCUGGAAAGAUAAACACAGCUCUUUUCCUGAGCAUAACAAAGUCCCUCCAUAAACUGGGUUCAUUUUUUUUCAGUCCUCUGGUACUGUUUUCUCCUCCUGGGCGCACGCAGGUUAUCCCACCCAAAACGCUGCACGAGUAUCUCCGACGCAGUGCGGCCAGGGCAGAGCCGGCAGCUGCUGAAGCCCCAUGGCAAAUGUGGAUGGGAACGGGGCAGGAUCGCUCCCCAUCCCUUAGGGAAUGCUGGGCACCCCAGGCAGGGGCACCGCGUCCCCCCAGCCAGCAUUCACCAGACCCCACCGAGCUGCUGCCUCUAAACCUGCCCUGCAUCCCCCGGGGGGAAACCUGCCGGUUGUGGUGCCUGGGAUCUUGGCUAGAAUCUGCCUCUUUUACAGCCUAGGAAAGAGGUUCCCUUUUCCUGGCUAAGAAAUAAAUCAGUCAGUAAAUAACUCCACAGGCGCCAGGAAAGAAUAAAUGCUUUGAAUUUACCCAGGAGGGGCUAACGCUGGGCUAGUCCUUCCUAAAUGUAAUUGCUACGCAGACCCUGCAGGGAAUCCUCCCUAGAUGCAGUCGUGCUAAGGUAAAAUCAAAGCCAGAGCCUCAAAGGUACCUGACAGAGCAUCUUUUAAUGCAAUAGUCUUAACUCCCAAGUUUCUUGAGGUGUGUGUGUGAUUCAGCCUCCAGCCUCCCAGGGAAGCCCCAGCAAUCUCAGGACACAGCACAGAAUUGGACUGGUUUGGAAGAUGAACGCCAUAAAGGUGCCGAGUGCUGCACCCCUGUCCCAGCACCCUCCAGUUUGUGGGUGUUUUCCCCAGAUGCUCCAAACUGCUGUCUUAUCACCCCCCCAAAGGAGCAGGGCCAGGGGUAGCAGCGAGAGAGGGCAUUUGCCUCGUUUACUGCAGAGAUGCUCUACCUGUGCUGCUAAUUAGUGGCAUGAGGAGUGACUGCCCUUCUCGCCAGUGUGAAGCAGCUAAUAAACUAAUUAAGAUAAUGGAUAACUGAGCAGAUAAAACUCUUAAGCUAUUUACUAACAGGCCGUAGAUGGGUGUGGAGCCUUUCCUCCAGCCAGCAGCUCAGCAGCAGGGUGGGCAGUGAUGCUCCAGCCUGUGUGACACCAGUGGUCCCAGUCCUGCCACUCCAUCGAUGCCCUGUGUGGGUAAGGGCCCUGCAGGUAUUUACCUGGGGAACCUGCUUUGCAGCAUCCCUGUUUUUUGUGUAUGUUGGUUUUUUUUUCUGUUUGGUUGUAUUUUUUUCUUCCCCAGGGAACUGCAAGCCCAAAGUCCCUUUAUUUUUUGCACAGAUGCUCCAUUUUCCACACCAGUGCCCCAUGACCCUGGGCAGGCAGCCGAUGCUCAGCAAGGGGACCUCUGCCAGCUUGACCACGGUGACACGGGUGACCCUGGUGGGGGGUACUCACAGUCAGUCCCCCUCACACCAGGAAUUUUGUGUCUUUUGGGGGAUGCUGAAUGAGGGGGAAGCAGCUGCCUCCCCCAGACAUAAUGCAUCACUCCCGUUCAUAUCAGCUUGUGGGUGGGGAAGUGUGGUCCCAGCCCCACAGCAUCCCUCCGGGCAGUGCCAUCAGCAUGGGGUGAGAUGGGUGACAGAGCCCUUGGUGCCACCCAAAGAAAGGGCUGCAGGAGUGAGAUUUUAACAGGAAAAACAAACAAGGGCUGUGUAGUCUGGGGAGCAGACAGCCUAAGCAAACGUGGGUGUAGGUUUUCUGUCUCGGAAGAGCUUGGUCAGCUAUGGAAAAUGCCCAAAGGUUAAAAAAAAAAAAAAAAGGAGAAUUUCCACCACCCCACCCAGGAGCGUUGAAACAAAUGAAGUGAUAUCUACAUUGAAAGCAUAGCGGGCUUCUUUCCAGAAUUAGGGCACGUGAUCCCGCCAGGAACUGCUCCUCCAUCAGAAAUCACCAAGGGGUGCUGAGCCCAGGCCAGCCCAGAGCCUGCUGCUCCCCUACCCUGUGUGGGAGCCUUACCCUCCCCACGGCUGCCAGCCCAUCCACCAUCCAGGUCACGGGUGGGAACGCUGCUUCCUGCAUCCGAGGGGGAGUAUUUGAGACUGAGAGUUGCUGUGACCUUGGGCUCAGGCAGGGAGCUGCCACGUGGCCCUCCCCACCGUGUGCUAUAACCGUUGCACUUGGCUCUUGCCCUUUCCUCUGUUCAAAAGAACCUGGGUUUAGUCACCGCUCUCCCAAAGUGUUUAAGCUCUCUGAUCCCAGCUGGAGAAAGAGCCAAAGAGAAACAACGCAAGCAACCCCCAAAGCUGCCAACUCCACCCUCAGAUUUUGGGGCAUCCAGGCAAAAUUGCAAUUGCAAAUUGCAGCCGAUGGGGCUCCAGCAGUCUCUGCUCUCCCUUGGACUGCCCAUGGCUGGUUUCUUUCACGCCACGUGCCUGGGCUCCUUCCAGCCCUCCUUAGAGCAGAUGGGAAAGGAGCCCCAUCCCCGCUGGUGUGGGACAGGUUGGGCCAUUUGUUCUGCUGCUGGUGGGGGGAACCUUGACUCUUGUUUGUUGAGCUCCCGGGGUAAUCCUGCAUCCUUUUUAGGACAUCUUUGACAAUCACAACCCUUUCCUACAGGUGGGAGGAACAACUCUGUGCCCAUCCCAGCAAAACGCCCUGGCUGACACCUCCAGAGCCUGAUCCAGACCCUUCUGUCAGCAGAGCUAUGACAAAUGCUUUUGGUAUUCACAUGGUCACCACAUGUCCUUCCAUCACCACAACCGACUCUGCAACCGCCGGGGACUUUCCUGCUGGCUCUCAAGUUCCUGCUCCUACCAGGGGCCUUCCCCCCCGUCGUACAUCAUCCUGGGCGGGCGUCCGUUGUGCCUCUGCAAGAGGAAGAGGAGGAACAGUCCUGGGCUGCUCACAGACAUCGGCCACUCACAGUGUGGUGGCUUUGGAGGUAUUGGAGAUUCUGGGACUCUGCCCCUGAUGUGCAUCGUGUUUGCAUGCAAGCUACUAAGUCCCAUAUAUAUCCCCUAUAGCUCAGCAUCUCACUAUAUUCCCCCUGCCUCAAACCAAACAGCCUAAGCUCUGUCUGCAGGUGAGAGCUGUUGAUGCCUGGGAUGGAGGGGGCACAUCACCCACGGGGGAGUGUGGCUGGUGACACGUGUGUUCGCACAUGUUCAUCCAGCCACAGCCCAUGGAUGGAGAAGACCAGCCUGGCCCCAAGCUCAGGCUCCACAGCAGCCCUGGGGGGAGACGGAGCAAACCCAGCCACGGCAAUGCCCACCAACAGCAUCUACCCCAUCACAGAGAGACAGGGAGAGAGCAGAUAUAGGAAAAUAAACUCUCUCAGAAAGGAAAGGCAAAGGGGAGAAGAUGCAACCAGAAGCAACCCCAUAUCCUUUAUCUCCUUCUCCCAAGCACAUGUGUCCCCAGGGAUGCCAGGCUGGGGACCCUCUUGCCCAUGGGUGGAUGAUGAGUCCUGGACCAGCUCCUUCCCCCCGCAGCCAUGGCACACUGGGAUGCUCCCCAAGAUUUGUUUUUCCUGAAGGUCAGUCUAUUUUCCUGGAUGUUGAGGACAGCCACCAAGCACUGUCUGCUCACCCACCCUGCACAGAUCUGCGACCCCUGGUAACUGAAAGAGAAAAGAAGCAUCUGCAAAACGCCUGCGGUGAUUUCACGGUGUUUUCCCAGAAAGAGCUGGCGGGGCACAAGAAAUACUCUUUUCCGUUCUGCCAUGACUGAAGACAAAUGCGCCAUCUAAUUAAAUCACCUAAUCAGGGCCUCUUUGGGGGUUCAGCCCAGCCCCUCUUGCUGGCCCCAGCUCUGGGGCUACAGGAGAAACUUUCCACAAGGCAACAGGUCGUGAUGUGAAAGGCAAAGAGAUGCUGAACCCACCUCUGCCUCUCCUCGUUUCUUCCAAUGAUUAAUUGUUCCCGCCGGUUAAAUAUUUAUGCCUUAUUUCCAACGUGUCUGGCUUUGGCUGCCAGACAUUGAUUCCUGUCAUGCUUUUCUCUGCUCAAUUAACGAGCUUUUGGCUAACGUAUUUUCUCAUCUGCAAGAGUAUUUAGAUGCUUUAAUCAAGCCCCCCUUGUUCCUCUUUGAUUUAUGAGUAGGCUAACUGGAUGGCCAUCUCCUCUCUCCCCAUCAGGCAUUUUCUGCAGCCCCUUGGUCCCUUCCCCUCCUGCCAAGAUGGAGAGACUGGGUUUGUCCAUUGUAAGACCAAUUUCAAUUCUCAUAGUGCCCUGACCAAAAAUGCAAAUAACUGCUAUUUUUUUUCCAGAACAAAAUUGCCCGUUACCCUGAAAAUUUUCGAUUCUCCAGCACAGAAAUUGGGACAGACACACAGCCACCCCCCAGGCAGCUCCCGCUGGAGGAGGGAGCUGGUGAGCCCCUGAGCUGCCUCUCCCAGCAUCUGCGAGCAGCUUCUGGUGAGAAUUUAUCAUCCAGAUUAGGGACAGGAAAACACGCACAACU